rnacentral:rRNA from 1 species
UCUCUUUGAGACAUGUGCACGCUUGUCAUCUUUAUUUCUCCAACUGUGCACGUAUUGUAGACCUUGGUAUUUUUGAAAUUGUUCGAGUGAAAAUCGAAUAGAUUGAGGAUUGCUGAGCUUUCUCAAAAGACAGCUUUGCCUUGCAUUUCCAGGUCUAUGUUAUUUCACAAACCUUUGUUAUAGAAUGUUGAAUUGGGUCUUUGUACCUAUAAAAGUGUAAAUAUACAACUUUCAGCAACGGAUCUCUUGGCUCUCGCAUCGAUGAAGAACGCAGCGAAAUGCGAUAAGUAAUGUGAAUUGCAGAAUUCAGUGAAUCAUCGAAUCUUUGAACGCACCUUGCGCUCCUUGGUAUUCCGAGGAGCAUGCCUGUUUGAGUGUCAUUAAGUUCUCAACUUGCACUAGUUCUUUCUGGUGCAGCUUGGAUAUGGGGGUGUUAUUUUGCAGGCUUUUCAAAGUCGGCUCCCCUGAAAUGCAUUAGUGGUCUCCGAGCAGAGAAACUGCUACAGGUGUGAUAAUUAUCUAUGCCUUUAGUACUCUGCAUGAACUGCUUCUUAACAAGUGAAUCCCUGUUG